UGACAAACAAUACUCAGUGUAACCAGAUGCCAUCAGAGAACUGUAACUCCUCCAGUUUAUGCUUCAUACAAUUAGACAAGUCAUUCAUUCAUGAUACGAAGAUAACAAAAAAAUGUGUCCAUCAGUCUGAAUGUAACCGAACAAAUUACAAUGUGUGGAUAGCCUCAAAGUACACAUCAUGCUGUGCUGGAGACCUGUGCAAUGAAUAUGUGAAUGGAAACACAAAUGUAACAUGCAAUACUAUCCUAAUAAUGUCUGCCAUUCUGGUUCUCAUGAUCUUCAAAACAAUGGUUUAAACUAAAGUCCUCUAAGGCACUGAUAGUAUUGUGCUCAACGCUGAUCUCCACAACAUCAACAUUUCUGUUUAUUUUAUAGAUGGUAAGAACUCAUGAGCAGGGCCCCCUUCCCUCUUGUGCUUUUUCUUCCUUCACUUAUUAUCAUCUUCAUCGUCAUCAUCAUCAUCUCCUCACUACCAACAACGGCACCAAACCUUUGGGAUUGGUGGUCCUGCUGCUGAUUUGUGUCUUAUAACUGCUGAUGCUGCUAACUUUAUAAACCUUGUCCUUAUUCUACAAUGUUUUGUACUGUAAGUCACAUUUUAUACCGUUCCCAUUUAAGUAUGUUGCAUGGUGUUGUGGACCCUUUGUGGACCCUUUGUUAACAGACCGAACUUUAAAAAAAAAUAGUGCUUAUGAUUAUAAAGGGAAAAAAUUGAGACAUUUAGAUUAACAUUUAAAGGAAAAACCCAAGAGUUUGAGAAUGCUUGCUAUCCAAUACAGGAUCUCAACAUUACUGUACAUUUGCUGCUUAUUUUCCCUCCAAACCACAUUUUUCCUAACAAAACAGUCUUAAGGAACCAUUAUAUUUUAAUUGGUUAAAGAAUGUAGAAAUCUUACUAAACACAUAUGUUUGCUUGCAAAGCAUCGACUUUGGUGGGAUAAAUGUCUGUGUGAUAGUUAUUGCCUCUUCGUUCAUCAAUUGCAUACUCUUCAUUUUUAGCACUAUAAUUUCAGUCCAAACCAGCUACCUGACAUACUGCAAGAACUAUACUGAAGGAUACAAAUACAGUAAUUAACAGAUAUCUUAGAGCUUUUAUUGUACAAAUUUUACAUUUUUCAUUUGACUUGGAUAUUUCUAACUUGUUUACUCAUUGUGACUUAUGGUAUCUCAAAAGUCUUAAAUUACUAAAUCUGGUAAAAA